rnacentral:rRNA from 1 species
AAUAUUGCACAAUGGGGGAAACCCUGUUGCAGCGCGGCCGCGGGAGUGAGGAAGUAUUCCGGUAGGUAAAGCCCUAUAAGCAGGGAAGAAAAUGACGGUCCCUGACUAAGAAGCCCCGGCUACCUACGUGCCAGCAGCCGCGGUAAUACGUAGGGGGCAAGCGUUAUCCGGAUUUACUGGGUGUAAAGGGAGCGUAGGUGGCGAGUCAAGUCAGAUGUGAAAGCCCGGGGCUCAACCCCGGGAUUGCAUUUGAAACUGGUUUGCUAGAGUGCAGGAGAGGUAAGUGGAAUUCCUAGUGUAGCGGUGAAAUGCGUAGAUAUUAGGAGGAACACCAGUGGCGAAGGCGGCUUACUGGACUGUAACUGACACUGAGGCUCGAAAGCGUGGGGAGCAAACA